rnacentral:misc_RNA from 1 species
GAUGAAGAACGUAGCGAAAUGCGAGAAGUAAUGUGAAUUGCAGAAUUCAGUGAAUCAUCGAAUCUUUGAACGCACAUUGCGCCCGCUAGUAUUCUGGCGGGCAUGCCUGUCCGAGCGUCAUUUCAACCCUCAAGCCCCCGGGCUUGGUGUUGGGGAUCGGCGAGCCUCCGCGCCCGCCGUCCCCUAAAUCUAGUGGCGGUCUCGCUGUAGCUUCCUCUGCGUAGUAGCACACCUCGCACUGGGAAACAGCGCGGCCACGCCGUUAAACCCCCAACUUCUGAACGUUUGACCUCGGAUCAGGUAGGAAUACCCGCUGAACUUAAGCAUAUCAAUAAGCGGAGGA